rnacentral:rRNA from 1 species
UACAGAGGGGGCAAGCGUUAUUCGGAAUUAUUGGGCGUAAAGGGCGCGUAGGCGGUCGUUCAAGUGGUAGGUGAAAUCCCUCGGCUCAACCGAGGAGCUGCCCGCCAAACUGAAUGACUUGAGUCCGGGAGAGGUGAGUGGAAUUCCCAGUGUAGCGGUGAAAUGCGUAGAUAUUGGGAGGAACACCAGUGGCGAAGGCGGCUCACUGGACCGGCACUGACGCUGAAGCGCGAAAAGCGUGGGGAGCAAACGGGG